rnacentral:rRNA from 4 species
CGAUAAGCGUCGGGGAGGUGCGAAUACCCUUUGAUCCGACGAUUUCCGAAUGGGGCAACCCACCUUAGAUGACUAGAAAAUCUGUUUUGUUGGAGCAACGCUGGAUGGGUUUACACCCAUACAGACCGCUAGGUCGUCGGCCCAUGUGGGCCGCCCCCGCGGAGCGCCAGCAUUCCUCUGGAAUGCGUACGGCGCGUGAGCGAGAACAGCACAGCUUUCUAGUCAUCAUAAAUAAGGUAUCUAACCUUGAAUACAUAGGGGUUAGAAGCGAACCUGGGGAACUGAAACAUCUAAGUACCCAGAGGAAAGGACAUCAAACGAGACUCCGCUAGUAGUGGCGAGCGAACGCGGACCAGGCCAGUGGCUUUUGUGAAUAAAGUGGAACGAGUUGGAAAACUCGACCGAAGUGGGUGAUAGUCCCGUACACGUAGAAUAGCAGAAGUCCUUGAGUAGGGCGGGACACGUGAAAUCCUGUCUGAACAUGGGUCGACCACGAUCCAAGCCUAAGUACUCGUGCAUGACCGAUAGCGAACCAGUACCGUGAGGGAAAGGUGAAAAGCACCCCGACGAGGGGAGUGAAACAGUACCUGAAACCGGAUGCCUACAAACAGUUGGAGCCCAAGGUUUGUCCUGGGUGACAGCGUACCUUUUGUAUAAUGGGUCAGCGACUUAGUGUAUCGAGCAAGCUUAAGCCGGUAGGUGUAGGCGCAGCGAAAGCGAGUCUGAACAGGGCGUUCAGUUCGAUGCAUUAGACCCGAAACCAAGUGAUCUAGCCAUGAGCAGGUUGAAGGUACGGUAACACGUACUGGAGGACCGAACCCAUAUCUGUUGCAAUAGAUCGGGAUGACUUGUGGCUAGGGGUGAAAGGCCAAUCAAACUUGGAGAUAGCUGGUUCUCCGCGAAAUCUAUUUAGGUAGAGCGUCGACCGAAUACCCCCGGGGGUAGAGCACUGGAUGGGCUAUGGGGACUCACCGUCUUACUGAUCCUAACCAAACUCCGAAUACCGGGGAGUACUAGUCGGCAGACACACGGCGGGUGCUAACGUCCGUCGUGGAGAGGGCAACAACCCUGACCACCAUCUAAGGUCCCUAAGUUAUGGCUAAGUGGGAAAGGAUGUGAGGAUCCCAAAACAACCAGGAUGUUGGCUUAGAAGCAGCCAUCAUUUAAAGAAAGCGUAACAGCUCACUGGUCUAAAUAAGGGUCUUUGCGCCGAAAAUGUACCGGGGCUCAAGCCAUACACCGAAGCUGUGGAUGCACGUAUGUGCGUGGUAGCGGAGCGUUCCGUAAGCCUGUGAAGGGACAGUCGUGAGACAUCCUGGAGGUAUCGGAAGUGAGAAUGCUGACAUGAGUAACGAUAAAGGGAGUGAGAGACUCCCUCGCCGAAAGUCCAAGGGUUCCUGCUUAAAGUUAAUCUGAGCAGGGUUAGCCGGCCCCUAAGGCGAGGCCGAAAGGCGUAGUCGAUGGGAACCACGUUAAUAUUCGUGGGCCUGCAGGUAGUGACGGAUCGCGUGUGUUGUGAGGUCUUAUUGGAUUGAUCUUGCAGCGAAGCGGUUCCAGGAAAUAGCUCCUGCAUAUAGACCGUACCCUAAACCGACACUGGUGGACUGGUA